AAGGCCAUUCAAAAGAUGGCAGGAAGCCAUGAGUCUGACAGGCAUACAGCACAAGGGACACAGGUCAGAUCUGAAAUGUGAAUCUAUCACCUGUCGCGUGUAGGGGCUAUAUUAGAUCAGGGUUCCUCAACCUUGGCACUGUUGACACUUGGGCUUCAUGAGUGUUAGUUGUGGAGGACUAUCCUAUGCCUUGUAGGAUGUUUAGCAGCAUCCCUAGUCUAUCCACAAAAUGCUGCUAGAAACCUCUCCCCCAAUUGUAAAAACCAAGGAUGUGCUCAAACUUGGACACAUAUUCCCUAGAGGGUGAAACUGCCUUGAAAACCACUGGAUUGGGGACCAGCUUAGUUUGGAGGCUCUUUUGGUAACAGAAGAAAGGAAUUAGUGGGAUGACGGUAUAACCAUCAGCAUGGCAGAAGUAAUCCAACCACAGGGGUUUAGAAGGGUCCUGGAAGAGAACCAGAACAUCCUCAAGGCACCACCAAGAUUUAAGGAUGUCACUUUAAUGUCUGCAAGCAACAGUUACUGCAACUUUCAAAGAGUUCAGAAAUUUGCAGUUCUUUUUUUUUAAUGGACGAUUUUAUAGAAUACUAAA